AUUGAACGCUGGCGGCAUGCCUUACACAUGCAAGUCGAGCGGCAGCGCGGGGGCAACCCUGGCGGCGAGCGGCGAACGGGUGAGUAAUGCAUCGGAACGUAUCCUGUAGUGGGGAAUAACUCACCGAAAGGUGAGCUAAUACCGCAUAAGCUCUGAGGAGGAAAGCGGGGGACCGAAAGGCCUCGCGCUGCAGGAGCGGCCGAUGUCCGAUUAGCUAGUUGGUGAGGUAAAGGCUCACCAAGGCGACGAUCGGUAGCUGGUCUGAGAGGAUGAUCAGCCACACUGGGACUGAGACACGGCCCAGACUCCUACGGGAGGCAGCAGUGGGGAAAUUUGGACAAUGGGCGCAAGCCUGAUCCAGCCAUGCCGCGUGAGUGAA
rnacentral:rRNA from 1 species